GAAAAAUGGAACCGUGCUAACGUUAAUUGCAAUCCAACACUACAAUGUUCUCACGUAUUUUCUCAGUUUUCACAGUGCUCGCGGUGCUUGUGAUGCAAACUGAGCCAGAAGAAUAAAGGCACCUGCUUGAAACGCCACGUCUGACUUAAUAUCUUCAUUCAAAGUGGCCGCUACAUUCACCUUUCACAUAAGGACUGUGGAAGGUGGGCAACAUUGGAAAGGUUCUGGCGUUCCUCCGCUCCGACGAGAUGAGCAGCCUUGGUCAGCGGUAGAAGACUCCGAGGUCGCCGAGUGCUCUCUUCACUUGCUUGGAAGUCUUCCUGGAGCUCCGCCAAUGUACUCUCAAUCCAAAGGCGUCUCUCCUUUGUAAGUUUCACUAGUGAUGAAAAAGUCAGUCAAAUAUGUUAUUGUCUAAAUUAAGGUGACUUUAUGCUUCCUUUUUACACCAGUAGAUUCUGGGUGCCAUAAAAAAUUACAUUAACCCCACCCUUUUUUUAUUAGUAAUUACCUUUAACUAACUUUUUAGGUGCCCUGGCAGUCAAGGGACCUUGGAAAUGUCUAGAUUUUCCCCUUUAAAAGCACCCCGACCAAUAACGUUCAUAAAUACUCAAUAGAAGAAUGUAUCAUUAAUCCAUGUGGUUGGUAAUGGUAUCGCUAUUUCAGUCCUGGAUGAUGGGAAUAGGAAUCAGCAGCAUAAGACCCUGAUCUGAGCAUCCCUAUUUAUAUGUUAUGUUACCCACAUGUUUGUUUUUAUGUUUUCCUUUUAUUUUUUUUUUCGCUGAACCUAGCCUCCAAAAGAGCUAGAAAGUGGGACUUGGCAGCUGAUCCUUCAUAGAAGAACUAUAAGGACCACAGGCCAUGUAUUAUUUAUGUUUGGGCCUGUUUGUGAAGGUUUUUUGUUUGAAUUAAGGCAAUACAUGCAUGGCUAUAUUACCGCAGAUGAACUGUUGCUGCCUGUUGCCAUAACUUGAGAAUAAAACAACUGCAGAACUCAAAGCGAUGUUAGAAAAGAGAAUGGGAAGAAAUCAAAUUCAAGAAAUUUAAGGCCCCUAGACUAAAAAAGUGUGACGGGAGAGAGACAGGACUGGAUUUUUGUAUUUUUGUUUACUCUGGCAUGGGAUUGGGAUGGGACAAGAUUGUAACUACGUAGCCACUACUCUAGGGCUAGGUUCACACGCCAUUUUCAUUAAAAAAAUGGCAGAUGUGACGUGAUGUGACGCUGUCACAAGGAGUUAGGAGAAUAUGAAACAGGUAUAGAAUAGGCUUGAGCAGAAAAAAAACGAUAAAUACAAACUAGUUGGGCGAGAUGCACCAGAAAAGAAUACACAUGUCACUCAGGCAGCAUGCGGACAAAGCAGUACGAUGCCACGUCGUCCUCCUGUAGCCAGGCAGCAUGGCAAAGUGGCUAGAGGGGCACCU